rnacentral:tRNA from 1 species
AGCUCUGAGGUGUUUAGACAUAUAAGAUUGCAAAUCUUAAGUAGCAGGCUGAUACCCUGCCGGGGCUU